CAGUCGCCGCGGUAACACGGAGGGCGCGAGCGUUACCCGGAUUUACUGGGCGUAAAGGGCGUGUAGGCGGCCUGGGGCGUCCCAUGUGAAAGGCCACGGCUCAACCGUGGAGGAGCGUGGGAUACGCUCAGGCUAGAGGGUGGGAGAGGGUGGUGGAAUUCCCGGAGUGGCGGUGAAAUGCGCAGAUACCGGGAGGAACGCCGAUGGCGAAGGCAGCCACCUGGUCCACUUCUGACGCUGAGGCGCGAAAGCGUGGGGAGCAAACCGGAUUAGAUACCCCCGUAGUCCCUGUCUCUUAUAC
rnacentral:rRNA from 1 species